GACAGAGGUGCCGAGCGUUAGGCGGAAUCACUGGGCUUAAAGCGCGUGUAGGCGGCUUUGCAAGUCGGAUGUGAAAGCCCUCGGCUCAACCGAGGAAGUGCGUUCGAAACUGCAGAGCUUGAGUGCCGGAGAGGGUGGCGGAAUUCCCCAAGUAGAGGUGAAAUUCGUAGAUAUGGGGAGGAACACCGGUGGCGAAGGCGGCCACCUGGACGGUAACUGACGCUGAGACGCGAAAGCGUGGGGAGCAAACAGG
rnacentral:rRNA from 1 species